rnacentral:rRNA from 1 species
GACGAACGCUGGCGGCGUGCUUAACACAUGCAAGUCGAACGAGUUGCGAACGGGUGAGUAACACGUGGGUGAUCUGCCUCGCACCUCGGGAUAAGUUUUGGAAACGGGGUCUAAUACCGGAUAUUGCAAGAUGUGCUCGCGGCCUAUCAGCUUGUUGGUGGGGUAAUGGAUACCAAUGCGCGACGGGUAGCCGGCCUGAGAGGGUGUACGGGCACAUUGGGACUGAGAUGCGAGCCAGACUGCAACGGGGGGCAGGAGCGGGGAUUAUUGCACAAUGGGCGGAGGGCUGGAGGAGCGACGCCGGGUGGGGGAGGACGGCCUUCGGGUUGUAAACUCCUUUCGACAGGAAAGCGGUACCUAUAUAAGAAGCACCGGCUAACUACGUGCCAGCAGCCGCGGUAAUAC